UGGUCCUCCAUAGACAGAGCUCUGUUC
rnacentral:piRNA from 1 species